UACGUAGGCAGCGAGCGUUGUUCGGAGUUACUGGGCGUAAAGGGUGUGUAGGCGGUUCUUUAAGUUUGGUGUGAAAUCUCCCGGCUCAACCGGGAGGGUGCGCCGAAUACUGAGGGACUAGAGUGCGGGAGAGGAGAGUGGAAUUCCUGGUGUAGCGGUGAAAUGCGCAGAUAUCAGGAAGAACACCCGUGGCUAAGGCGGCUCUCUAGUACGGUACUGACGCUGAGACGCGAAAGCGUGGGGAGCGAACAGG
rnacentral:rRNA from 1 species